GGAGAAAUACUUAGGAAUCUACCUAGUAGUGGGGGAUAGCUCGGGGAAACUCGAAUUAAUACCGCAUACGACCUACGGGAGAAAGGGGGCAACUUGUUGCUCUCGCUAUUAGAUGAGCCUAAGUCGGAUUAGCUAGAUGGUGGGGUAAAGGCCUACCAUGGCGACGAUCUGUAGCUGGUCUGAGAGGAUGAUCAGCCACACCGGGACUGAGACACGGCCCGGACUCCUACGGGAGGCAGCAGUGGGGAAUAUUGGACAAUGGGGGAAACCCUGAUCCAGCCAUGCCGCGUGUGUGAAGAAGGCCUUUUGGUUGUAAAGCACUUUAAGCAGUGAAGAAGACUCUUCGGUUAAUACCCGGAGACGAUGACAUUAGCUGCAGAAAUAAGCACCGGCUAACUCUGUGCCAGCAGCCGCGGUAAUACAGAGGGUGNAAGCGUUAAUCGGAAUUACUGGGCGUAAAGCGAGCGUAGGUGGCUUGAUAAGUCAGAUGUGAAAUCCCCGGGCUUAACCUGGGAACUGCAUCUGAUACUGUCAGGCUAGAGUAGGUGAGAGGAAGGUAGAAUUCCAGGUGUAGCGGUGAAAUGCGUANAGAUCUGGAGGAAUACC
rnacentral:rRNA from 1 species